CGGGUGAGUAACGCGUAGGUGACCUACCUUUUAGUUGGGGAUAACAUCGGGAAACCGUUGCUAAUACCGGAUGUGAUAGUUGAUCUUGAAAUAGAUUAUGAAAGAUGGCCUCUCCUUGGAAGCUGUCGCUAGAAGAAGGGCCUGCGUAUCAUUAGCUUGUUGGUGGGGUAAUGGCCUACCAAGGCGAUGAUGAUUAACUGGUCUGAGAGGAUGAUCAGUCACACUGGAACUGAGACACGGUCCAGACUCC
rnacentral:rRNA from 1 species